UUAUCUUGGCAGAAUAGUGUAAUUGAUUUAGAAUCAUUUUAAGUAGUUAAUAUUACAGAUAAUA
rnacentral:tRNA from 3 species